rnacentral:rRNA from 1 species
GACCCCAUUGUAUCGGUUGGACUAAGCCAUCAAGUUGUGCGCCACGAGCCAGGGCGGAGGCGCAGCAUACGGCUCAGUAACACGUGGCUAACCCACCCUGGGGACGGGGACAACCCCGGAAACUGGGGCUAAUCCCCGAUAGGAGAGGAAGCCUGGAAUGGUUCCUCUCCCAAAGGGUGUUGAGACCAUGCUUCUUAGCAUUGCCCGAGGACGGGGCCGCGGCCGAUCAGGUUGUUGGUGAGGUAAAGGCUCACCAAGCCUAUAACCGGUACGGGCCGUGAGAGCGGUAGCCCGGAGAUGGGAACUGAGACAAGGUCCCAGGCCCUACGGGGCGCAGCAGGCGCGAAAACUCCACAAUGCACGAAAGUGUGAUGGGGCUAACCCGAGUGCCGUCCGCUGAGGAUGGCUUUUCUCCGGUGUAAGGAGCCGGAGGAAUAAGGAGAGGGCAAGUCUGGUGUCAGCCGCCGCGGUAAUACCAGCUCUCCGAGUGGUGGGGACGAUUAUUGGGCUUAAAGCGUCCGUAGCCGGCUUAACAAGUCUUCCGUUAAAUCCAGCGAUCCAAUCGCUGGACUGCGGGAGAUACUGUUAGGCUAGAGGGCGGGAGAGGCCGAUGGUACUCCCGGGGUAGGGGUGAAAUCCUAUAAUCCCGGGAAAACCACCAGUGGCGAAGGCAGUCGGCUAGAACGCGCCUGACGGUGAGGGACGAAAGCUGGGGGAGCGAACCGGAUUAAUACCCGGGUAGUCCCAGCCGUAAACGAUGCGGGCUAGGUGUUGGGGUGGCUACGAUCCAUUCCAGUGCCGCAUGGAACAAUUAAGCCCACCGCCUGGGGAGUACGGCCACAUGCUGAACUUAAAGUAUUGGCGUGGAGCACCACAAGGGUGAGCUUGCGUUCAUUUAUUAUCACCCCCGAAAAAAAAAUAAUCCGGUGUUCAAC